UUGUCAGCCGACAUAUAUAUAAAUCAAAUGGAACUCGACAUAUAAACAUAGUUCUUACUCUCUCUAUCCCGUCGGCUACUCUUAUCUCUCUCAUCUUUCUUCCAAUUUUGUUCUUAAGUUCACUUUAAGUUCACUUUGUUUUUGCUAAUUCAUAAAAAGUAUACGAAGUACUUCUCCUUUGCUUCUUGUUUGUAGAUUUGUUUCCUCAAAUAUGCUCUCCUUUUCUCUUCUUUCUUUAAGGUAGUCUAUUUUGUAAGAGGGUGUUGAGUGCUUCAUGGUUGGAUGAUGUUGGAACGUUUGGAAGAACAUGAAGAUUUUUACAAAACUUAAAAGUCACUCUAGUAAUUAUUUGUAACCUAAGGUUUUUGAACUAUUAUUAUUUGGUUUCUAACAUAUAGAAUCCGAUUGAUUUAGGAAAAACGAUAUUUUGUUGUUCAUUAAUUGAUUUAAUGAAUUUAUUAAUGGUUAUUGAGUUAGUAUUUCUCUCAA